rnacentral:rRNA from 1 species
GACGAACGCUGGCGGCGUGCUUAACACAUGCAAGUCGAGCGGUAAGGCCCUUUCGGGGGUACACGAGCGGCGAACGGGUGAGUAACACGUGGGUGACCUGCCCUCAGCUCUGGGAUAAGCCUGGGAAACCGGGUCUAAUACCGGAUAUGACUCCAUGACGCAUGUUGUGGGGUGGAAAGCCUUGUGCGGCUGAGGAUGGGCCCGCGGCCUAUCAGCUUGUUGGUGGGGUGAUGGCCUACCAAGGCGACGACGGGUAGCCGGCCUGAGAGGGCGACCGGCCACACUGGGACUGAGACACGGCCCAGACUCCUACGGGAGGCAGCAGGUGGGGAAUCUUGCGCAAUGGGCGAAAGCC